CGGAUUCCACGAUCCGAAAUCGUCCAUGGAAUAUCUUCCACUUUUCUUCCUAUAAUAGGAAUAAAAUCCUCGGAAUUCCAAGCUAUCCUCCAUGGAUAAAUUCCACUUUAUUCCAAGCAAGAUACCAUGGAAUAAUUCCAUAUAUAUUCCUUUUGGCCAUCCAUGGAUAUUAGAAUGGAAUAUUUUCCAUGGUGAUAAAUCCGCGGAAUAUCCAUGGGUUUUCCACGGAAUAAUUCGCUCUUUGCGCGUCCCCACGCGAUUACGUCAGUCUUGUGAAAUUCUUCUCAUAGGAAAGAACGCGAAAAGUGCUGAAUGUAUGCGAUGGAGACGGCACAGGGACCCCACAGUCAGAGAAGACUCGAGGUUUCCGGACAACGUCAAAGUAGGAGAAACAAUCAAUGAAAAUAGGAUGCGGAAAAGCGGUUACCGGAGGAUCUACUUAUCCGACAGAGUGGACUCAUGACAAGCUUUUUUCAAACAUAUCCGGACCGGUGCGAGAAGACAUCAAAGAGCAUCUCGACUUCCGGCGACCGCGGUAGCAGUCGUCUAGAAAAGUAGCAGUCCCUGGG